GACCGAACCGACUUACGUUGAAAAGUGAGCGGAUGAACUGAGGGUAGCGGAGAAAUUCCAAUCGAACUUGGAGAUAGCUGGUUCUCUCCGAAAUAGCUUUAGGGCUAGCCUCAAGUGAUGAUUAUUGGAGGUAGAGCACUGUUUGGACGAGGGGCCCCUCUCGGGUUACCGAAUUCAGACAAACUCCGAAUGCCAAAUAAUUUAACUUGGGAGUCAGAAUGUGGGUGAUAAGGUCCAUAUUCGAAAGGGAAACAGCCCAGACCACCAGCUAAGGUCCCAAAAUAUAUGUUAAGUGGAAAAGGAUGUGGCGUUGCCCAGACAACUAGGAUGUUGGCUUAGAAGCAGCCAUCAUUUAAAGAGUGCGUAAUAGCUCACUAGUCGAGUGACACUGCGCCGAAAAUGUACCGGGGCUAAACAUAUUACCGAAGCUGUGGAUUGUCCUUUGGACAAUGGUAGGAGAGCGUUCUAAGGGCGUUGAAGCAUGAUCGCAAGGACAUGUGGAGCGCUUAGAAGUGAGAAUGCCGGUGUGAGUAGCGAAAGACGGGUGAGAAUCCCGUCCACCGAUUGACUAAGGUUUCCAGAGGAAGGCUCGUCCGCUCUGGGUUAGUCGGGUCCUAAGCUGAGGCCGACAGGCGUAGGCGAUGGAUAACAGGUUGAUAUUCCUGUACCACCAUUAUUCGUUUUAAGCGAUGGGGGGACGCAGUAGGAUAGGCGAAGCGUGCUGUUGGAGUGCACGUCCAAGCAGUGAGAUUGAGUGUUAGGCAAAUCCGGCACUCUUAAGAUUGAGCUGUGAUGGGGAGAGGAACUUGUUCCUCGAGUCGUUGAUUUCACACUGCCGAGAAAAGCCUCUAGCUAGAAUAACGGUGCCCGUACCGCAAACCGACACAGGUAGUCAAGAUGAGAAUUCUAAGGUGAGCGAGCGAACUCUCGUUAAGGAACUCGGCAAAAUGACCCCGUAACUUCGGGAGAAGGGGUGCUCUUUGAGGUUCACGCUUCGAAGAGCCGCAGUGAAUAGGCCCAAGCGACUGUUUAUCAAAAACACAGGUCUCUGCUAAACCGUAAGGUGACGUAUAGGGGCUGACGCCUGCCCGGUGCUGGAAGGUUAAGAGGAGUGGUUAGCGCAAGCGAAGCUACGAAUCGAAGCCCCAGUAAACGGCGGCCGUAACUAUAACGGUCCUAAGGUAGCGAAAUUCCUUGUCGGGUAAGUUCCGACCCGCACGAAAGGCGUAACGAUUUGGGCACUGUCUCAACGAGAGACUCGGUGAAAUCAUAGUACCGGUGAAGAUGCCGGUUACCCGCGACAGGACGGAAAGACCCCGUGGAGCUUUACUGUAGCCUGAUAUUGAAAUUCGGUACAGUUUGUACAGGAUAGGUAGGAGCCUUAGAAGCGUGAGCGCUAGCUUACGUGGAGGCAUUGGUGGGAUACUACCCUAAUUGUAUUGGAUUUCUAACCCGCAGCACUUAUCGUGCUGGGAGACAGUGUCAGGCGGGCAGUUUGACUGGGGCGGUCGCCUCCUAAAGAGUAACGGAGGCGCUCAAAGGUUCCCUCAGAAUGGUUGGAAAUCAUUCAUAGAGUGUAAAGGCAUAAGGGAGCUUGACUGCGAGACCUACAAGUCGAGCAGGGUCGAAAGACGGACUUAGUGAUCCGGUGGUUCCGCAUGGAAGGGCCAUCGCUCAACGGAUAAAAGCUACCCCGGGGAUAACAGGCUUAUCUCCCCCAAGAGUUCACAUCGACGGGGAGGUUUGGCACCUCGAUGUCGGCUCAUCGCAUCCUGGGGCUGUAGUCGGUCCCAAGGGUUGGGCUGUUCGCCCAUUAAAGCGGUACGCGAGCUGGGUUCAGAACGUCGUGAGACAGUUCGGUCCCUAUCCGUCGUGGGCGUAGGAAAUUUGAGAGGAGCUGUCCUUAGUACGAGAGGACCGGGAUGGACAUACCUCUGGUGUACCAGUUGUCGUGCCAACGGCAUAGCUGGGUAGCUAUGUAUGGACGGGAUAAGUGCUGAAAGCAUCUAAGCAUGAAGCCCCCCUCGAGAUGAGAUUUCCCAACUUCGGUUAUAAGAUCCCUCAAAGAUGAUGAGGUGAAU
rnacentral:rRNA from 1 species